rnacentral:rRNA from 1 species
CCUACGGGAGGCAGCAGCCGAGAAUCUUCCGCAAUGCGCAUAUUUGCGUGACGGAGCGACGCCGCGUGAAGGAUGAAGCCCUGUGGGGUGUAAACUUCUGUCGAAUGGGAGCAAUUUAAGAGAGAGUACCAUUCUAAUAGAGGCUGCUAACUUCGUGCCAGCAGCAGCGGUAAUACGAAGGCCUCAAGCGUUAUCCGGAUUUAUUGGGCGUAAAGCGUCUGCAGGUUGAAUAAAAGGUCUUUACUUAAAUUCUCGGGCUCAACCCGAGGUCUGGUAUUGAAACCAUUAUUCUAGAGCAUGUUAGAGGUAAGCGGAACUCAUGGUGUAGCAGUGAAAUGCGUUGAUAUCAUGGGGAACACCAAAGGCGAAGGCAGCUUACUGGGACAUUGCUGACACUCAGAGACGAAAGUGUAGGUAUCGAAGCGGAUUAGAUACCCGCGUAGUCUACACCCUAAACGAUGAACACUAGACAUUUCGAGUAUCGACCCUCGGAGUGUCGAAGCUAACGCGUUAAGUGUUCCGCCUGGGAAGUACGAUCGCAAGAUUAAAACUCAAAUGAAUUGACGG